CAGCUUUGUAUGUACAUAAAAAUGAUCACCGUAUCAUUAUACAUCAAUAUUAUAAACAUCAUGUAAAACGUUUGAGAGUCCUGACUAGGAAAAGGCGAAAAUGAACUGGUGGGUGGUGCAGAAAUGUGAGAUUUCCAUUUUCAAAGUGUAAAGAUGUAAUUUUAUUGGCCACGUAUAAUUUUGUAUUUCCCGUUUAUGACAACACAUACCAUAUCCACACACAGAACAAUUUACAGAAACAUCAACCCCUUACGAAACCGUUUCGGACAUUUUCCAUAAGAAAUUGUCAAAUUUUAAGUGUCAGCUAUGUACGGUAUUGUCUUCUGUCAUUCUUGUAGUAAAAAAAAAAAUCCCAUGAAAAAAUGUAAUGCUACAAGCCGCAAUGUUAUGACACAGCGGUCCUCUGAGGUCAAUUAUCACAGUGGUUUGGUGCACUAGCAGCAAUAAUAAUGACAAAGAGCCUUUCACGGCCUCGUCUGUUAGGAAUUGAUGUUUUCCCCCCGGUUAUUUCCCGAAUGAAUGACAAUCCAAAAUCACUCAAGUGCCCCGGCCAAACUACCUGUCACACAGCAGACUGUGAGUUUAUCUGCUGAAUGCUGACUAGAUGAAAGGUGCGGCGUGGUGCGACCUUCAGAAGUCUCUUCUUCGCUUCGUUGGCAAUCAACUCACAAAAUGUGGCAGAGACUGUGAAAACUGCAUGGAGCUUUUCCCUCGUGAAGGACAAUGGCGGUAAGAGCCACAAUCAUUCACAUGCAUCGACUUAUCUCUGUCCGUGAACACACACACACACACCCACACACCCACACGCACUCACACACAAACCCUGAGAAUAUUGACUUCAUCCAAUAAACUCCAAAUAUCUGGCGUCCAAACGAUCAAACAAUGGCUCCGCACCAAAGCGUAAUAUAUUCUUGCACAAGCGAGCGGUCUGACACUUUCCCAUGCCAAAAGUUCAAAUGUCAAGUUUUUAGAACCACCAUUCUCGGGCUCCAUGAGCAAGCCGGCGAGUGUCAUCAGGCUCCUCCCUGAAUACAUUGCGUCGCAUUCUUCCACUGUCACCCUCCUGCGCGUUCCCGUGUCCAAUUUCCGAGCAGCGAUUGGCCAAUUUUGUCAGGAUGAAUGUCCAUCCAAAGGAGUCAAUGAGCAUGAAAGUAUGAAUUAUAUAUGCAAUGGUUAUAUACAGUCUAUAUCAGGGUGGGCAAACUACGGCCCGCGGGCCGAAUCCGGCCCGUUGGUCUUUUUAAUCCGGCCCGCCGAAGGUUGGUCCACAAUU